CUAAAUCUCAGUAACCUAAAACAACAAAUGUCCAUUUCUUGCUAAUCUUCCAUCAUUGCCAGCUGGGAGUUCUGCUCUAUGUCAUCAUUGUUCUCUCUCCAGGACCCAGGUUCACAGAACAACCACUUUCUGGAGCACUGCCAAACAGACUAGGAGCAGGAGAAGAGAAUAAGAGGAAGCAGGCACUCGAUUUUGAGAAUUCUUCACAUCCCUCAAAACAUGCUUAUACGUCACCUCUGCAGCCACAAAUCUUGCUCAUGUGA
rnacentral:lncRNA from 1 species